GCUGGGACUGUAAGCAUGGACCACCAUGCCCACUAUUUUUUUCUUUUUUUUGUAGAGACAGGGUCUUGCUAUGUUGCCCAGGCUU
rnacentral:pre_miRNA from 1 species